UACGUAGGGUGCAAGCGUUGUCCGGAAUUAUUGGGCGUAAAGAGCUCGUAGGCGGUCUGUCGCGUCGGCUGUGAAAUCCCGAGGCUCAACCUCGGGUCUGCAGUCGAUACGGGCGGACUGGAGUUCGGCAGGGGAGACUGGAAUUCCUGGUGUAGCGGGUGAAAGUGACUGGCCGAGACAGUAAUUACUCAAGGGGAAAAAAAAAAACCACCCCAAAAUUGGGGCCGGAAAAGGGGCCAGGCCUUCUUCCUUGGGGGGAACC
rnacentral:rRNA from 1 species